AGAAAUAUAGAAAUAGGAAUUUGUAGGGAAUUUUGAUUGUGUAUUCCUAAUUGGAUUAGGAUUCCUAAUUAGAUUGGAAUUCUUCACUCCUAAAUAGAUUGGGAUCCUUAAUUCCUAGUUAGGUAUUUAGGGUUAUACAAAUACUAUAUAUAAGCCUAGUUUUUUUUCAUAAUUUCUUAGUUUUUGUUAGGACAUUUAUUUGAGAUUAAUAUAA
rnacentral:misc_RNA from 1 species